rnacentral:rRNA from 1 species
UACGGAGGGUGCAAGCGUUAUCCGGAUUCACUGGGUUUAAAGGGAGCGUAGGUGGCCUUAUAAGUCAGUGGUGAAAUCUUCGAGCUUAACUCGGAAAUUGCCAUUGAUACUGUAGGGCUUGAGUAUAGUUGCCGUUGGCGGAAUAUGACAUGUAGUGGUGAAAUACAUAGAGAUGUCAUAGAACACCGAUUGCGAAGGCAGCUGACGAAACUAUAACUGACACUGAGGCUCGAAAGUGCGGGGAUCAAACAGG